GAGCCUGCGUCCCAUUAGCUAGUUGGUAAGGUAACGGCUUACCAAGGCGACGAUCAGUAGCCGACCUGAGAGGGUGAUCGGCCACACUGGAACUGAGUCACGGUCCAGACUCCUACGGGAGGCAGCAGUGGGGAAUAUUGCACAAUGGGCGCAAGCCUGAUGCAGCAACGCCGCGUGAGCGAUGAAGGCCUUCGGGUCGUAAAGCUCUGUCCUCAGGGAAAAAUAAUGACGGUACCUGAGGAGGAAGCCCCGGCUAACUACGUGCCAGCAGCCGCGGUAAUACGUAGGGGGCGAGCGUUAUCCGGAAUCAUUGGGCGUAAAGGGUGUGUAGGCGGUAAGGUAAGCGAGAGGUGAAAGGCUAUGGCUCAACCAUAGUAAGCCUUUCGAACUGCCUUACUUGAGUGCAGGAGAGGAGAGCGGAAUUCCUAGUGUAGCGGUGAAAUGCGUAGAUAUUAGGAGGAACACCAGUGGCGAAGGCGCUCUGCUGGGCCAUCACUGACGCUCAUGGACGAAAGCCAGGGGAGCGAAAGGGAUUAGAUACCCCUGUAGUCCUGGCCGUAAACGAUGAAUACUAGGUGCCGGGG
rnacentral:rRNA from 1 species